rnacentral:rRNA from 1 species
UACGAAGGGGGCUAGCGUUGCUCGGAUUUACUGGGCGUAAAGGGCGCGUAGGCGGAUGUUUAAGUCGGGGGUGAAAGCCCGGGGCUCAACCUCGGAAUUGCCUUCGAUACUGGACAUCUUGAGUACGGGAGAGGUGAGUGGAACUCCGAGUGUAGAGGUGAAAUUCGUAGGAUAUCGGGAGGAACACCAGUGGCGAAGGCGGCUCACUGGCCCGAUACUGACGCUGAGGCACGAAAGCGUGGGGAGCAAACAGG